rnacentral:tRNA from 1 species
GCCGAGGUGGUGAAAUUGGUAGACACGUUGGAUUCAAAAUCCAAUGUUUUUCGGAACGUGUGGGUUCGAGUCCCACCCUCGGUA